rnacentral:tRNA from 1 species
CGCCCCGGCGCGCGGGGGGCGCGAGCUGUCGGCCGAGCAACAGGCGUGGCAGGCGCUGUCGCGCGCCGCGUUCGGCCCGCGCCCGGGCGAC